rfam:Stegodyphus mimosarum contig114932, whole genome shotgun sequence.
GCCUUCGUGGUGUAACGGUAGCACACUUGCCGCGUAUUCGAGAGGUCCAGGUUCGAGUACCGGCGAGGGCA